rnacentral:rRNA from 1 species
GCAUAUCCAAAAAGCGGAGGAAAAGAAACCAACCGGGAUUGCCUCAGUAACGGCGAGUGAAGCGGCAAGAGCUCAAAUUUGAAAGCUGGCUCCUUCGGAGUCCGCAUUGUAAUUUGCAGAGGAUGCUUUGGGUGCGGCCCCCGUCUAAGUGCCCUGGAACGGGCCGUCAGAGAGGGUGAGAAUCCCGUCUUGGGCGGGGUGUCCGUGCCCGUGUAAAGCUCCUUCGACGAGUCGAGUUGUUUGGGAAUGCAGCUCUAAAUGGGUGGUAAAUUUCAUCUAAAGCUAAAUACUGGCCGGAGACCGAUAGCGCACAAGUAGAGUGAUCGAAAGAUGAAAAGCACUUUGAAAAGAGAGUUAAACAGCACGUGAAAUUGUUGAAAGGGAAGCGCUUGCGACCAGACUCGCCCGCGGGGUUCAGCCGGCAUUCGUGCCGGUGUACUUCCCCGUGGGCGGGCCAGCGUCGGUUUGGGCGGCCGGUCAAAGGCCCCUGGAAUGUAGUGCCCUCCGGGGCACCUUAUAGCCAGGGGUGCAAUGCGGCCAGCCUGGACCGAGGAACGCGCUUCGGCACGGACGCUGCAAAAGACCUC